UUCAGGUGAGAUAAAGCCACUUUCGUGGAUCUUCUUACUUUCGUAAGCGUAUAACAGCUUAGUAAGCGUUCGGCUUUAGUGUUUAUUAUUCCUAAACCACGCUUUACGCCGGAGCUUGUCAACUUGGGCUUCUCGUAUAACCGCGGUAGCUGGCACGAGUUUUACCAGCCCUUUUAACCAUAACUAAGUCAAGUUUGCACUUAUUGGCUUAAUGUCUGUCACUGCUGAGUUCCCUUGGGGGUGUGGCUGAGCAAGGUGUUGUGGGCUAUAAGGGCAUGUGCCUGAUACCAGCUCCUUGUUCCCGGACGGGGAACUGUGGGGCAUUCUCACGGGGGUGCGGAUACUCGCAUGUGUAAAUCUGGUUAAAGCUGACAGGAAAGUCAGGACCAAGCCUUUG
rnacentral:rRNA from 1 species